rnacentral:RNase_P_RNA from 1 species
GGUAGUAAGUGAGCUUAUAUGAGUUACAAGCAAAGCACUAGUUGCUAUAUUUACUCAUUGGAAGGUCGGAGACAAUGUAAAUAUGUCCUGUGAAGGGCUGUGCGUAAUUGUGCAUACACGCGAUCAGAAAUGGUGGCUACAGCCGUGUGAAUGUGGUCUGUUAGCCUUUGUAAUUGUGUGUAAACUGCGCUUUAAGUGAGAUUAGCUCAGUGGGAAACCAUAACUCAAUUCCGACUACUCUGCUACC